AAUAGAUACCCCGGUAGUCCACGCCGUAAACGAUGAGUGCUAAGUGUUAGAGGGUUUCCGCCCUUUAGUGCUGCAGCUAACGCAUUAAGCACUCCGCCUGGGGAGUACGGCCGCAAGGCUGAAACUCAAAGGAAUUGACGGGGGGCCCGCACAAGCGGUGGAGCAUGUGGUUUAAUUCGAAGCAACGCGAAGAACCUUACCAGGUCUUGACAUCCUCUGACCUCCCUGGAGACAGGGCCUUCCCCUUCGGGGGGACAGAGUGACAGGUGGUGCAUGGUUGUCGUCAGCUCGUGUCGUGAGAUGUUGGGUUAAGUCCCGCAACGAGCGCAACCCUUGACCUUAGUUGCCAGCAUUCAGUUGGGCACUCUAAGGUGACUGCCGGUGACAAACCGGAGGAAGGUGGGGAUGACGUCAAAUCAUCAUGCCCCUUAUGACCUGGGCUACACACGUGCUACAAUGGAUGGUACAAAAGGGCUGCGAGACCGCGAGGUUAAGCCAAUCCCAGAAAACCAUUCCCAGUUCGGAUUGCAGGCUGCAACCCG
rnacentral:rRNA from 1 species